rnacentral:rRNA from 1 species
AUUGAACGCUGGCGGCAGGCCUAACACAUGCAAGUCGAACGAGUGGCGGACGGGUGUGUAAUGUCUGGGAAACUGCCUGAUGGAGGGGGAUAACUUCUGGAAACGGUAGCUCAUACCGCAUACCAUCCGAUGUCCCCAGAUGGGAUUGGCUAGUAGGUGGGGUAAAGGCUCACCUAGGCGACGAUCCCUAGCUGGUCUGAGAGGAUGACCAGCCACACUGGAACUGAGACACGGUCCAGACUCCUACGGUAGGCAGCAGUGGGGAAGAUUGCACAAUGGGCGCAAGCCUGAUGCAGCCAUGCCGCGUGUAUGAAGAAGGCCUUCGGGUUGUAAAGUACUUUCAGCGGGGAGGCGUUACCCGCAGAAGAAGCACCGGCUAACUCCGUGCCAGCAGCAGCGGUAAUAC